AUUCUGUUGUUGCUGCCGCAGCUUCCCGAUCUCUGCCAUUAAUACGUUUCUGUCUCUCUUCAAUCUUUCAAGUUCAUCCUCCAAUCCGUAUUGCCCUAAUUCCACACAAGCUCCUAGUCCUCCUUGCUGUGUAUUCUGUGAGACAUGUCUUCUUCUCUUGAUGUUCUUCAGCAGAUGCUUCUGCCCUCCCAAAAACCCUUCAUUUGCAAACUCCCAUCGAUCUGGAUCGACUUUUCUAAAACCCUGCAUCCAUUGCAAGCAUCAAAGCCCAUCAGAAUCAAAGCAGUAAAGAUUGAAACUUAUAAAAAAAAAAUCAAAUUAACUCAAUAUAAACUAGAAUCAACACAAGACUAGUGCAAACAUCAUGAAAUUACAAUAGUUUAGAAAAUAUUCAGAAGAUUAUCAGACAGAAUCCUGGAUGGACAGAAUUCAGAUUCGACCUUACAAAACAGCAACACAGGAUCAGAAUGACAAUAUUUAUCAAAACCCACAAGAAAAUAAUCAUGUAAACCCUAAAAAUACAAACUCCCAGAUUCAAAUUCCAUGAAUCCAUAAAGCUGAAGGCAAUUGAAAGUUUCAACAAAGCUGCAACCCAAGUUUGGUGAAAACCACUCAGAACAGUAGAAUUAAAAAAACCCACAAAAAAUAUGCAACAGAAAUUUGAUAGAACCCUACAUUGAUAACCAGCAUGAUCAGAUUCAUACAAACUGCAACGAACCCAGAAUACAAAAACCAAUUCCCAGAGCAAAACCGAAGCAACCCAGGUAAGAUCACAGAAAAUUAAGAAGAAAGAAGCCCAAAUUCAGAGCACUUACAUAUGUGUUGAGCUGGCGAAUGAAGCUGGAGAAGUUACUGUGCUUGAAGUACCUGGGAAGAAGAGUAGUAGAGAACUUGUGCGAAUCCCAAACAAUGAAGCUGUUGCGAGCUCUACUCCACGAGACCACUGAGUCGGUUGCUGGGUCUUCCACCAUAUCGAAGGUCUUCGUAAGAAAUGGAGGCGGACCCACCUCGUGCAGACCCUCCAAUGGGUGAGGAGCA
rnacentral:lncRNA from 1 species